UUGACAGUCCUGGAGACCAAAACCCUCUCCUUAUCCACAGACAGGGUGCUGUUCACCAAGAGCAGAAGCAAUACAAGCUUCCCCACACUACUCCAGCAAUAUGCCUCAACCCUGACCUGCAAGGACUACUUCUAGACUGAGAACAGUAGUUCAGUUUCCUUGCAUGCUUGGCCCUCAGUCUCU
ensembl:misc_RNA